rnacentral:misc_RNA from 1 species
UGGCUCUCGCAUCGAUGAAGAACGCAGCGAAAUGCGAUAAGUAAUGUGAAUUGCAGAAUUCAGUGAAUCAUCGAAUCUUUGAACGCACCUUGCGCUCCUUGGUAUUCCGAGGAGCAUGCCUGUUUGAGUGUCGUGAAAUCAUCAACUCAUAUUACUUUUGUGACAUGAGCUUGGAAUUGGAAGCUUGCUGGCUCUUGAAGUUGGCUCUUCUUGAAUGCAUUAGCUGGAUUUGAUUUGCAGCAUAUAUGCGGUGUGAUAAUGUCUUCACUGUAUAGCUCAAGUCAUUUGGCUUCUAAUCGUCUUUCUGGACAAUCUUGACUAUCAAGACCUCAAAUCAGGUAGGACUACCCGCUGA